GGAGACCCCGAUUUCCCUCAUAGAGCUACCAUUUCCAGAGUACCCUGGAAAGAGGGAAGCUCUGUGAGGGGAAUAGGGGUCUU